GUGAGGAAUUUUCCGCAAUGGGCGAAAGCCUGACGGAGCAAUGCCGCGUGAAGGAUGAAGGCCUAUGGGUUGUAAACUUCUUUUCUCAGAAAAGAAUUAUGACGGUAUCUGAGGAAUAAGCAUCGGCUAACUCUGUGCCAGCAGCCGCGGUAAGACAGAGGAUGCAAGCGUUAUCCGGAAUGAUUGGGCGUAAAGCGUCUGUAGGUUGUUUAAAAAGUAUUCUGUCAAAGAUUAGGGCUUAACCCUAGAUAGGCAGAAUAAACUUUUAAGCUAGAGUGUGGUAGAGGCAGAGGGAAUUCCCGGUGGAGCGGUGAAAUGCGUAGAUAUCGGGAGGAACACCAAAGGCGAAGGCACUCUGCUGGGCCAAUACUAACACUGAGAGACGAAAGCGAGGAGAGCAAAUGGGAUUAGAAACCCGGGUAGUCC
rnacentral:rRNA from 1 species